rnacentral:rRNA from 1 species
AUGGGUGUCGUUGUUGCUAAACGGCUAGCCCUGAAUCAUACAAAAGGCCCCAUAUUUGGAGGUAUCUAUGAUGCACGUCUUGCUAGGCAUUUUCAGAUACCCAUUAGGCAUCUUGAGAAAGAGGAGACAACAUUGCCUCCUCACAUUUUAGAUUACAAGAGCAUGGUAGCACACAAGUUUAUUGUUGACAACAAAGAGAGGAUGCUCUUGUAUAAACUUAGAUUUAAUAGGAAACACAUUGAGAUUAUUAUUUUGCAUCCGCCUCUGUUGUUUGAUUUGCUUGAAGAAAAUGUUUCUUGUCACACCGGAAGUUGUGAACAAUCAUCGAGCCCAAGCUUUUACUCCAGAACCCGAACCUGA